rnacentral:lncRNA from 12 species
AUGAUCAUAAGUGACUUUGCUCAAAUCCAGGCAGGGUUGAAAGAGCAACCAGGAGCAAAUCUCAGAGCAGCCAAACCACAGCUCCUCAUGGAAAGGCCUCCUGUGAGCUUCAUAAGUGACAGAACAAGUACUGACUCCUGUGCUACACACACAAUCUGCCUGUGUGUGGGUGCCUUUGGAGGAGAGUUCUCGCUGAAACCAAGCUUGAGUGGAAAGCCCUCGGGAAAGGCCGGGUCACCAGUACUUGCGUCAAGUAGUGAUCAUACUCCACGAACCAUGUGGAAAGGAUUUCAGAUCAAUGGGAAUAGCAGAAUGGAAUAA